CUUUCCUGCGCGCCGUUCCCUGCCAGUUCCUGUUGCCGGGUUUAUCUUCUCACGGCCUCGAGAUGGUGGUGAACGUGGCACGGAGGAGCCGGGCCUUCCCACCCUGUGGGCCCGAGCUCCGGAAGGCCCCCUCGGCAGUGAGAGGGGCGGGAGCCCGCGGGGGCCGCGCCCUUCUCUCGCUUCGGCCUGCGCAACGCUGCGCUCUGGGCUGACAGGCGGAUAAAACGGUCCCAUCAAGAUUGAGAAAAAGCACACCAAAUGUUGGUACAGCGUGGGCAGUGGGGCCUACAGGAUGACUUAGUCUACAGAGAUCCCGGCGUACUUAAGCAGGUAGUAAUGAUGGACAGAUGAAGACUCUUAAGAUGACAGAAGGUGAAUUUUUCUGGUGAUCGAGGACUCCUGGGGUCAUGAGAGUGAUGAAAUGCAGGGGACCUGGUGGCCCCCAAGUUUCCUGGCAGUGUGUGAUACUGAGAUUCAUGUGUUACAUGUAAAGCUGUCCUCAGUUGUGACUAUGGACCUAUGGAGUUGGGACAAUCUCUAUGGGAAGCAGAAGGCAAGACCCCGGUCAUUUUAGGUAGAAACAACAGCAUGCUAAUGCAAAAAAUUAUGCAAUGUGCUACUGAACUUCAGAGGUGAUCAAUAAAAGAAUAAAGACUAG
rnacentral:antisense_RNA from 1 species